rnacentral:lncRNA from 1 species
CUACUUGAACAGACAUGCUUCGGGCACUAUCCGAUCAAGAGCUUCGAACAAACUCCAUGAUCGAGAUAAGUCCCGAGCAUAACUGACCAAGAGUUUAAUAAAUGCUUAGAGUACAGAUCUCGGGUUUAUCCGAUCAAGAGGUUCGGGCAGACACCACUGAUCGAGAUAAGUCCCGGGUAUAACUGUUGACGAUCCGACCAGAAGGUUCGGGUGGACAUAACUGCUCGAGAUCAGUCAUAAGUGAAACUGACAAUAAACAUCCAUGGGCAAAGAGUAUAUCUUAUUUAUACUUAGAAAAAUUUUACUUUACAAACCCGGUCACUU